rnacentral:lncRNA from 1 species
CAGCCCUCUUGCCUGAGCAAUCUGACGCAGAGGCACAUGAGGAAUCAGCACGGAACCAUCGACCCACAGGGUUAAUCCCAAUGUCAAUACCUGCUAGAUGUCAGGGAUCCCCUGGGCUGCUGGCGAGCCAUUUGAAAUGACCCAUCUCCUGCCACCUUGGCCUGCUCCUCUGGGCCACCUCUCUCCACCUGCACUUGCUUACCGGAAGACGGCAAGGCCACCGGUGCACUUCGCAGUGCCAGGAGAAAGGCGCCUCAUGCUAUUAGCUCAAAUAAGGAAAAUCAUGCCGGGAAGAUUGAAUUUUCUGCAGACUUGUUUAACCUGGUGAUUUCUGAGCACUUGGCGCUGGCAGCCACGGGGGAGUGGGCUGCCAGCCGGCACUUUAUCAGCCACUUCUCAGGACUAUUCCUAAGCUUAUUAAAUCAGCAUGAGUCACUCCCUUGCCUUCCUCACAAGCAUGAAUCACGAAUCAUCAAAACCCAAGCAAAA